UAUCAAACGUUUACCAUCAAAGCGCCGUUACAUGUCAGUUUCCGUUCACAGUUGCGAAAAUUAUUUGCGGGCUAAUGAAAAAUGUAUAAAUUUGCAUUUUCCAUUUGAAAUUUAGGGCGAGAAUUAUGUCAAUGAUUGUGGUGCUUAGAGCGAAAAUGCAAGUGGCGCGAUUUAGUGAUUUCAAAGCACAGUGUGUUGGAAAAGCUAUGUUUAGGCUGUAGUUGGAAUAUAAGUUUUUCGUUAGAGCCAACGCCAAUUGAAUGACUAAAUCGUGUGAGAUCAGGAUCAUAUGUCGAAAAGAAGUGUUUACAACAACCAGAAAGAAGAAUAUGUAAUGUCAAUGAUUGUUUUUAACAUUUCUGAUUGAAUGCUGUACCAGUUUAAGCUUCUACUGAGACGAAGAAAAGGCUAUACUUUCUGUACAGGCGCGAGCAUCUUUACGAAACUAAAUCCAAUAGUAAUAAACUAACCAACUUAUUCACAAUUCCCAACACCAAUAAAAGCAACAGGAACUAAUUCAAUAAAAAGUUAAACAUAUGUAUCUACUACAUUGACCACACAACACUCAAAUACCACCAACUUAACUUCGUCUGUAGUCGACAUACGUGUAGUCAUAUAAGUUCAUAUACAUAUAUCGACAUGAAAGAGUGUUUCAAUUUGUUAACACGCCAAGUAAACAAACUAACAGCCAGGAAAAAACACCAUUUCGUUUCGCUCCACUUGACGAGCGAUAAAAAAUUAACAAACUAUAAUUGUCAGUUGCUUAUUUACUGAAGGAGUGUUGGUACUAAAUAUAAGAUAUUUAAACUCCUGCUUGCAGAGCAUCAAUAGAUUGACUAGAACGGUGAGUUUGAAGAACUCAUUGGUGUCUUACUACUCUAUCAUCACAGGGUUUGGAAAGCAAUUACGUCAGAAUAACCGAAAGCGGGCACCUCAUUUAAUGGAAUUUUUACAUUAAGCUCUUCACAAAUUUAUCCUCGGAAGCCUUGGUGAAAGCAUGCCGUUCCGUUCUUCACAAAUUAUAAGAACAGGGCUGAAAAUCAGAAGUGGGAUAUUAAGUCACUUUCAUCAACAAUGGUUACAUGAAAUGGUUUUGGAACAAGUAUCCUUGCCUAUAUUAGAAAGUCCCCACAGCUUGAUUUCUGAUUUAGUUUAUCAAAAGAAAAAUAAAAGGCAUUGUGAUAUUUACUUUUAAAAUCUUCAAUGUCAAUGCCGCCAUUUGUAGCAGAGAAAAAAAGAGCAGUCUCCAUUUAUUGGUUUAUGAAUUCAAUAUCAAGAUCCUUACAAACUGAAGUCUGCAAUGACGUUAUUCAGGAAAGGCAGUUAAAUAAUAUAUUUGAAAUAAAUAUCAUAGUAUUUGUAAGAAGUUUCGCUGAAUAUGCCUCAAUGAUUUCCCAAACCCUACUAGUUCGAUAAGUGGAUUGUUAAAUAAGAAAACAACAAAUAAUUUUUAUUUAUUACUCAAUAAUUGUGC